UACGGAGGGUGCGAGCGUUGUCCGGAAUCACUGGGCGUACAGGGCGCGUAGGCGGCCCGGUACGUAGGAGGUGAAAUCCUGCGGCUUAACCGCAGGGCUGCCUUCUAAACUGCCAGGCUUGAGCACAGUAGAGGCAGGUGGAAUUCCCGGUGUAGCGGUGGAAUGCGUAGAGAUCGGGAAGAACACCGGUGGCGAAGGCGGGUCUCUGGGCCGAUACUGACGCUGAGGAGCGAAAGCGUGGGGAGCGAACAGG
rnacentral:rRNA from 1 species